rnacentral:rRNA from 1 species
UUAAUUGAGGUCUGGUAUGAAUGGUUGGAUGAGAAAUUUACUUUCUUUAUUUUAAAUAAAUAAUUUAAUUUUUUAGUUAAAAAGCUAAAAUUUUAUUAUAGGACGAGAAGACCCUAUAGAAUUUUAUUAAAAUUAUAUUAAUUACUUUAUUGACAAUUAUUUUUAAUUAAUAUUUUUUUAAUUUUGUUGGGGUGACAGAAAAAAUAUGAUAACUUUUUCUAUUUAUAUCAUUUAUGUAUGAGUUUUUGAUCCUUUAUUAUGGAAAUAAGAUUAAAUUACCUUAGGGAUAACAGCGUUAUUAUUUUAGAGAGUUCAUAUUGAUAAAAUAGUUUGCGACCUCGAUGUUGGAUUAAAAUUAGUGUAAGAGGCAGAAUGCUUAUUACUAAGUCUGKUCGACUU